rnacentral:misc_RNA from 1 species
AACGAGGCCGACCUGCGGCUGAGUUACCUGCGGAGGGAUCAUUACCGAGUGAGGGCCCUCCGGGUCCAACCUCCCACCCGUGUUUAACGAACCUUGUUGCUUCGGCGGGCCCGCCUCACGGCCGCCGGGGGGCACCCCGCCCCCGGGCCCGCGCCCGCCGAAGACACCUGUGAACGCUGUCUGAAGUUGCAGUCUGAGACACUAGCUCAAUCAGUUAAAACUUUUAACAAUGGAUCUCAG